rnacentral:rRNA from 1 species
UACGGAGGAUCCAAGCGUUAUCCGGAUUUAUUGGGUUUAAAGGGUGCGUAGGCGGAUUGAUAAGUUAGAGGUGAAAUGUCCGAGCUCAACUCGGGAACUGCCUCUAAUACUGUUGAUCUAGAGAGUAGAUGCGGUAGGCGGAAUGUAUGGUGUAGCGGUGAAAUGCUUAGAGAUCAUACAGAACACCGGUUGCGAAGGCAGCUUACUAAUCUAUAUCUGACGUUGAGGCACGAAAGCGUGGGGAGCAAACAGG